rnacentral:lncRNA from 1 species
AUGGGAAUGUGGAGCAUGUGUAAUCGUUUCUAUCAUCAACUGUCUCAGUGGGAAUGUGGAGCAUGUGUAAUCGUUUCUAUCAUCAACUGUCUGAAUGGGAAUGUGGAGCAUGUGUAAUCAUUUGAUCAUCAACUGUCUAUGAUGGAUGUGGAGCAUGUGUAAUCAUUGUAUCAUCAACUGCGUCUGAAUGUGGAGUGGUUAAUCGUUUGUAUCAUCAACUGUCUGAUGGGAAUGGGGCAUGUGUAUCAUUUGUAUCAUCAACUGCGUCUGAAUGGGAAUGUGGAGCAUGUGUAAUUGUUGUAUCAUCAACUGUCUGAAUGGGAAUGUGGGACAUGUGUAAUCAUUUGUUCUCAACUGUCUGAAUGGGAUGUGGAGUGUGUAAUUGUGUAUC